UAACGGCUUUACCUUAACUUUACCUCAUCUCACAUAAACUCUUGAGAGGAUUCUGCUGGAAUCAUUCAUCUCAUUACUGGCUAUUAAUCGUCUUUGUUUGUAAAACAAUGCAAGUAAAUGAGAGGAAGUUAUCAUCUUUGAACGCCAACACGAUGACAAAGACAAAAGUUGAGGCAAAUCCUGAGUCUAAUGCACGCUCAUCCCAUCACGCACGGGACGGGCAGGAUAAAGCCUGCGGAGACGCGAGCAGCCAGCAACCGUCAAGACAAAUCCACCGGCAUCAGACGUCAAAACAACCCCAGGCGAACACUUGGUCUAAAAUCAUCCCGGCAGCCUCACAGAGCAAAACCAACGAGGCUCACUCUAAGAAACCAAAGCGUGGAGCAUCUGUCACGCCAAACAUCCACACAGGCAAAAAGGAGAUGAGACCAGAGUCGAGAAAACGCUCCGAUGGCACUCGCAGUAAAUCGUGCGGGAGGAGAAAGCUGUCGGAUGGCAGCAUCACGUCUGAUGACCUGAGUAAGGACUCUGGCUGUGCUACCGGGAAGCUGUCUUCCACCGACAGCAGCUCUGAGAUCUCGGACGCAUCUGAGGAGCAUAAGCAGUCCACUGAUGCCCAGUGCGGUGAAGUCUGUCACAGAGGUACCAACGAAGAGAUGAUGGACGAUUCAGCUCAGCAGAUAUUAUCAGGACACAGAGAAGAAGAUGGUCUGAUCAAUGCCACCCUGUCUCCAGGGUUUGGCUUCGGAGAGGGAAGCAUCUCUCCUGGAGACCAGAGGUCCUACGUUUCUCUGGACAGUCGCUUGAACUUGAGCGGGUCUGUGGCAUUUUCGGAUCUGACUGGAGACUUUGCUGAUGGGGUGCAUGAGGAUCUGCUGAGGGAGAUUGAUGACCUAAGAUCAGAAAAUGAAUAUUUAAAGGACGAAAUGGAGGAGCUCCGCUCGGAGAUGCUGGAGAUGAGGGACAUGUACAUGGAGGAGGAUGUUUACCAGCUGCAGGAACUCCGACAGCAGCUGGAACAGGCCAACAAGGCCUGUCGCAUCCUCCAGUACCGACUUAGGAAAGCAGAGAGACGCAGCCUGCGUGUAGCCCAGACGGGACAGGUGGACGGAGAGCUUAUCAGGACACUUGAACAUGAUAUUAGGGUGGCAAAAAGCGUGUCCCUUCGCCUACACAGCGAACUUGAGGCCAUUCAAAAGAAAAAUUCACGGCUGGAAUGGGAAAAUGAGGGUUUACGUGAACGGCUGCAGGAUCUGGAGGUGGCAAAGCAGGUCCUGCAGGCUGAGAUGGACAAAUCACAGAAUUCUCUAAAGAGACGAAGUUUGAGAUCAACAUCCAGCAAGAGUGAAAAGAAGCUCUCUCCACAGGAUGACAGUGCUGAUUUGAAAUGCCAGCUCCACUUUGCCAAAGAAGAGUCUGCGCUCAUGUGCAAGAAACUAACAAAGAUGGCCCUGGAGAGCGAGGCGAUGCGGGAGGAGCUCGCCAAAUACCGUCUGCUUUAUGGUGAGGUGGAUGAAACCCAGGCUGCAGCGGGUGCCACUAACUCCGCCCACACCCGAGAAGCAGAGGUCAAAGUUCACUUGCGGCUGGUGGAGGAGGAAGCCACGCUUCUGAGUCGUCGAAUAGUGGAGCUAGAGGUGGAGAACCGUGGGUUGCGAGCAGAGAUGAGUGAACUGCGUGAACGAGGAGGAGGAAGCCUGGAAGAAGAGGAGACGAUGAAGGGGGCCAGUGACGGAUUAGCAGUGCCUCUCCAAACUGGGGUACAGGGGGAGAUGCUUAGAGGUGGAUGUCUGGAUGGGAAAGAGAAGGCAGAUGCAACGACUACCCACAAUAAUGUGCAGGAGAACCAAAUGCAUGUAGAGGAGGAUCAUGUGGAGAAUUCUUCUAUCAGCCACAUGCACAGAGAAGGGCCGAUUGGUGGGGAACAGGAGCUUUCUGCAGAAACUAAAGAGGAGGAUGGACAAGCUCAGUGUAAGUCAGACUGCACAUUUGGUGUGAAAGAUCUAGAGAGUCUUCUUGCCAUCCAUGACCAGGCGCUGCUUGUCAGAUCGACUAUCCAGCUCCUAACAACCCCAGCAAAAAAUGGCCUCUCACCUACAUGUACCCAUAACACUCCUGCUGGUGCUCCCUACUUAGGCAAAACUGCCGUAGAUCCUCAGUGCAAAACACAUCAGUGGCUUUUGGACCCCAUGUUGAGUCCCUUGACCAAUGGAUUAGAGGUGUUACAAGCCCAACUGCAUGCUCUUGUGGAAAAGUUGGAGGUGCUGUCAAACUCCAAUUCAGAGCGCCCUGGGCCUGUUACAGAAAAGAAUAUGUUACAUUUUGGCGAAGAUUUAAGUGAAAUGAAAGAGGACGCGAAUAAUCAAGCAAGUCGAGAACUUCCAUGUGAAGGAAAUGUUGGAAAUCAGUGUAACCAGGACAGCUUAGUGCUGCUCACUCUGCAGCUCCAGUGGUUCACCCAGCAAUGGAGGCAGGGAGAGAGACCCACAGCUGAUGGAAAGAGUCCGUUUGAGAUGUAUUGUCAGAAUGAUCUUCAUCUGCUUAAAGACACAGAGUCAAAAGAAUGCAAGUAUAAUCUUCAACAGAAGUGCAACAGUCAGGUGAGCAGUGCCCUGCUGUCAGACCUCAGGACUGCACUGUCAGAUCUGUUCUCUGAACUUUGGGAGCAGCACAGGGCAGCCCAGUUUGUCAUCCGGCAGUUUGCAAAUGCCAAAGCAGCGUGGGCCGUGGAGUGUGCAGAGCUCAAGAGCCUCAUAAGCAGGCUGGACGGUUCAGCUGGGAAGGCAGGAGUAAAGGGUCCAUCAGACCUGAAUGCGGCUUUGCAGAAGGACCACAUUGAGAAGCUUCAGCACCUGUUAGCAGAGUCCUACACUGCAGUGAUGGACCUGACAAGACAGCUGAAGGUCCGUGAAAGCAGCUGGAGCUCUGAGCGGCAGGAACUGCUAGAACACCUGAACCAUGUGCGUCUAGAGUGCGAAGGGUUGAAGACAGCUAAGCAAAAUAGAGAAAUGCAGUCCCCCAGAUACAAGAUGUUGACCAAAGAAGGUAAAAUGGAAAGGAUGCCUCUCAAAACUGGCAUGGCAAAACCCAACAAGAACUGGAAGUACCUCAGUCGAGAAGCUGCCGUUCUGGACAGAGAAGACCCCUGCAAGACUUGGGACUCUCCUAUCAUGCCUCCCAGUUUCCCUGGUCUGAACCUUAACCAGGAGCUGACCCAGAGAAGCCACACUGCUCCAGAGAGAACCAGCAUUCGUAUAUAUUUCAGCCCACCAUCAGCAAAAAGGAUCCAAAUGAGCUCUCUGAUAGCAGCAGAGGAGGAAGAGCUUGAGGAGAGCCAGGAACCACAUUUCAAUGCCGUUUCCUGUGGCCUUGUAAACCAAGACUGGGUCGCAGCGUAUGAAAGCUGGCUGGGUAGCCUGCCGUUUGACUGCCAAAGUUUGAUGGAGAGAGAUUCGAGUGCUGUCAUCAGUUCUACAUCCUCUUCUGGUCUUCAGACCUCCAGUAUGGCGUCCCCUUCAUGCUUGGCCUUUAAUAACUUGGACGUCUCAGCCAACCUGAGUGAUGACAUGAAGGAAAUUACAGCCAGUGUGCUGCAAACCUCCCAAUCCAGCCCUUUGGAGAGGAAAAGAGCAAAGGAUUUUGGGAGCAGUAUGGUGAGUGUUGUGAGUAUAGGAACGCAAACUCAAUCCCAACCACAGGUCACCACAGUUGGGCUACAAACCGAUGGUCCUCGAUGUCUUUAUGCUGCAAAGCACUGGUCUCCCCGAGUGACCUCAUUUGUAUCUUCAAGAACCCCGCAGACGUCAGUGUCACUGGAAAGGGUCCCUGGUUCAGCAGAUCGGUUUCAACCACAGACCACCUCGCCGAAAAUUCAACGCAGACACUCUGCAUCCUCUCCGUUUUCCUCCAAGUCUUCCUCUUCCACAUCCCCCUCAUCCUCUUCCUCUUUCACCACAUCCUCUUUGUCCUCCUCCUCAUCUCUGAGCGCCUCCUCCAGGCUGGAUUAUGGCGCAAAAGAGCGUGGUUUGUGGGCUCAGCCGCAACGUGCUUCGACACCUAGCAGGCCGAGUUCAGUAUCGGUGCAGGGCAGCGAUAAACAUGGCGGCCGUAAAAAUGUAGGCGUUCACAAAUACGGUCUGGUCCAUGAGUUUCUGCGCAAUGUGUGUGGUCGAGGAGAGAAGACCAACCCGGAGAUGGAGAAAGCGCCAGCAGCUCGUAGGGAUCACAUCGGUCUGGUGGGUUCAAAGAAAUCCGAGCACCCCCCAUCUCGUAUACCAGCGGUGCCACUGGUCAGAAAUGACAGCAUCACCAAGAUCGUGAACCGCAGAUUUAUGAAACAAAGCCAAAAAGAAGAGACGGUGUGUCAGAGCCAGACCCAAACUCAGCGCCAAAUCGACAGGGGUUCAGUCAACAAGAACAAGGGCUUGGAGGUUAGUAGCAAAGUUUAACCCAUUCAGUAACAUGACAAAAAACUAAAUUGAAGGUGUUGAGGGAGUAAUAUUUCAGUGAGACUAAAAUGGUUGCAAAAACAAUAAGUGCGUCAGUAAUUUGAAAUCUAGUCACUCUAAACACUGGGCCUCAUUCAUGAAACACGAGCAGAACGAAUUUUUGUGUAAAUCGUUCGUAAAGCUGUUCUGAUGUAAAUUUUCGGGUUCAUGAAAAUAUUAGUAUUUUCAAAAUGUUAGUUGGUAUGAAAGAAAUCUACACCUGCUCCCUACCAGGUGUAAAUGGUGCGUAAAAGGUUCUGUGUUCUUUUUGGCAAACUGAUGACACUGAAUCUUGAUGCACUUCCAUUUUCCAUUUGCUCAGUAUUUUUUAAUUUAUUUUAAUUGUAUUAAUUAAUUUAUUUUUUUGUAGCUGAGAGUUGAUCAACUGUUUAUCUCUGGUUUAGCUUUGGGUAGAAUGCAGCACUUGUCAUUGUCACUUUGUAGCCAGCCGUCCAAUCAAUGGAGGAGGGGCGGGACAAAUACCACACCAACCAAUCAUCCUACUUGUACAACUACUGAACAACAAUGGAGAAGUUAAUAUUACUGCUUUUUUAUAUUCAGUAAUAUUCUUCAAAAUGAGAUACUAGUAACGUUACUACCGUGGAUAUUCCACUUCAUAGCAACCAAAUCGACAGCUGGAAAAAACUUUUUUUUUUCUCUACAGUCUGUGGGAAAAACGCUGUGCCACCAAAGCGUUUAAGCGCCACCAGCUGGCUGUUUUCAGAAGAGCUCCUGUCAUUUUUCAGGUGGCUAAAAACACUUUGGUGGACACACGUUAUUGAAUAUUUAUUAUUAGGCAUAUGGCCUAUUAGUCUUUUUUGUAUUUAUGCAAUAUACUGGAGCCAAACUUGAGAAAGUAGACCAGAAUAUUCCACUGCGUUCCUGGACACGAAAUUUGCGUAGCUGUAGUCAUAGGCGGGGAUUAAGCUAAUUUGAAUGAGCGUGCAAGAGCGCCCUAUUUACUAAUGAUGGAAUUCAUUAACAUACGCAUGUUUAACUAUCAAUUACGAAGCGUUUGUGAAUCCGGAGGAGAGUUUUCGGGAAGGGCCGUUUUGCGCACAAAUUACUCAGAAUUUACUCCUAUAUUUACGAAUGUUUCAUGAAUGAGGUACACUGUGUUCAUGGCUGCAUCCGAAAACUGAAAAAUGCUGCCUUCGGAGGACGCAUUCCAAGGUAGUAAGGCAUCAAGGCACGUCCGAAUCCAAAGUUAGCUUCACUUCCUGUCUCCUGAGAUGCCUUCAUCUGAUCGAUUUUUGAAGGCAGCAUAGAUAGAUGUAUCCUGCCUUUGAUAUCCCACAAUCCUGUGCGUUCCAUUCCGAGACGGUCGAGCUAAAAAAUAAAGAUGGCGGCUGGAAGUUGCGUUUGGUGGUUAUUUUGUGUGUAAAUGAUGGAGCCUGUGACUGCAGCUCACGCUCUUUGACAUCCUGCUUUGCUCGACCCUCACAAAAAAACCUCCGGCACGUUCACAGUCAAAACAAGCCCCGUCCUCACGAACACCCCCCAUCCCGUGGUAAAGGUGAUUC